CGCGAAUUUCCUCUACUUUCUUUUAAAUACUCUGUUCUUCCUUAAUUUCUUUCUACUUUUCACCCCUUUCUCCCAGAAAUUCAAAGCAACAAAGCAAAGAAACUGUGCUGAAUAGGUUUCACUCAGAGUUCGUUGUUCUUCACAGAAGCACAUCCUUCUAUAUUUGGAUGUUUUGGCUUCUCACAAACCCAAAACCCACUUCCAGGAUGAAGUGUAUGAUUGCCAGAGACUUCAUCAGCGAUCGCUUAUGGUUAUGGCGUAUCAAACCACAAUCUCUUCAGAAAUUCCCACCUGUUUCUCCUUUCUCAUAAUCACAGCAGAUAAAAAACCGCAGAGAGUCGGAAUAUUAGCCUCGCCGUCACGCAAAUCAAGUUCAUAUCCAAGGACUUCUUCUCUGCACUUCUCCAAUCCAACUAUUAAUCCAGGUAUGCAUAAAACAAAACCAAAAUCCCGAGAACCCUCUCUCCUUUUUGUUGCUCUCCGCCUCUCCUUUUCGAAAUUAGAAACCCAAUAUGAGUAUGCGACUGAAUUCAAUCUUGAGUAGCUUAGCGAGAAGUAUCCCACAUCGUAAAUGCUAACCUUGUGGUGCUUUCUUAUUAAUUCAUGGCCUGCUUGUAUUGCUCGCUGAGCUCGGUAACGCGGGUUUGUAACCCAAGUGGGGGCAUCAAGGUGACUGGAUGUUGGGUCGAUUCAGCUGGCUGGAUUCCAGCGGCAUAAUUCUGGCCCGCCCUCUCCAAGUGGAGAGUUGGGCCAUGGUGCUUGGGCGUAGGCCUGGGCUUCAUGGCCCUUAGAGUGGAGGGCACCGCGUCAGGCUGGUUUCACAGAGCAGCGAUCACCUCUCGCUCUCUAUAGUGGAAGGAUAACGAGUCGGCGCUGCUUGGAUCCAAUAGAGUCAGUUGGUGUCCAAGAAGGUAGUUCGCCUUGGGGGACCAACCAUGGGAUCCACCACCCUAAGAGGUAGCUUGGGCGCGAGAAGAACUGGAGUUGAUUCUCCACCAAUUGGAGUGAGGGAAGAUCCUGCAACGGACCUAUAGAGGUUGGUUGUUGCAAGAGGUUUCCACGGCCUUUUGAUAUAUUCUGCGGCAUGAGAUAAGAGAUCAUUGUUUGAACUAGGCUUUAUGGCCAGGGACUGGAAGAAGACCCCAUCCAAGAGUCAUUGGGAGAAAGCGCUGGCAUUCACUUCUUGCAUGGCAGAGGGCACCUCCAAUGUCACAGCAUUGAACCUCUGUAAUUACUCCUUCAAUAGCUUGUUGUCUUUUUUUCGUACCGCGAAAAGGCUGAGUCCCGUCUUUUAGAGCUUACGACUGUUGACAAA